AUUGAACGCUGGCGGCAGGCCUAACACAUGCAAGUCGAACGAGUGGCGGACGGGUGAGUAAUGUCUGGGAAACUGCCCGAUUGAGGGGGAUAACUACUGGAAACGGUAGCUAAUACCGCAUACCAUCGGAUGUGCCCAGAUGGGAUUAGCUAGUAGGGGGGGGAACGGCUCACCUAGGCGACGAUCCCUAGCUGGUCUGAGAGGAUGACCAGCCACACUGGAACUGAGACACGGUCCAGACUCCUACGGGAGGCAGCAGGGGGGAAUAUUGCACAAUGGGCGCAAGCCUGAUGCAGCCAUGCCGCGUGUAUGAAGAAGGCCUUCGGGUUGUAGAGUACUUUCAGCGGGGAGGCGUUACCCGCAGAAGAAGCACCGGCUAACUCCGUGCCAGCAGCCGCGGUAAUUC
rnacentral:rRNA from 1 species